GUGCUCCCUUCGGUAGCACAUAUACUAAAAUUGGAAAGAUACACAGAAGAUUAUCAUGGCCCCUGUGCAAAGAUGACACACAAAGUCUUGAAGUGUUCCGUAUCUUU